UACGUAGGGUGCAAGCGUUGUCCGGAAUUAUUGGGCGUAAAGGGCUCGUAGGCGGUCUGUCACGUCGGGAGUGAAAACUCAGGGCUUAACCCUGAGCCUGCUUCCGAUACGGGCAGACUAGAGGUAUGCAGGGGAGAACGGAAUUCCUGGUGUAGCGGUGAAAUGCGCAGAUAUCAGGAAGAACACCCGUGGCUAAGGCGGCUCUCUAGUACGGUACUGACGCUGAGACGCGAAAGCGUGGGGAGCGAACAGG
rnacentral:rRNA from 1 species